rnacentral:rRNA from 1 species
UACAGAGGUCUCGAGCGUUAAUCGGAGUCACUGGGCUUAAAGGGUGCGUAGGCGGGCCCGCAAGUGCUUUGUGAAAUCCCAUGGCUUAACCAUGGAAUGGCUUGGCAUACUGCGGGUCUUGAGGUCGGUAGAGGCUGCUGGAACUCUAGGUGGAGCGGUGAAAUGCGUAGAUAUCUAGAGGAACGCCGAUGGUGAAGACAGGCAGCUGGGCCGAUUCUGACGCUGAGGCACGAAAGCGUGGGGAG